GAUGAACGCUGGCGGCGUGCCUAAUACAUGCAAGUCGAGCGAAUGGAUUAAGAGCUUGCUCUUAUGAGGUUAGCGGCGGACGGGUGAGUAACACGUGGGUAACCUGCCCAUAAGACUGGGAUAACUCCGGGAAACCGGGGCUAAUACCGGAUAACAUUUUGAACCGCAUGGUUCGAAAUUGAAAGGCGGCUUCGGCUGUCACUUAUGGAUGGACCCGCGUCGCAUUAGCUAGUUGGUGAGGUAACGGCUCACCAAGGCAACGAUGCGUAGCCGACCUGAGAGGGUGAUCGGCCACACUGGGACUGAAACACGGCCCAGGCUCCUACGGGAGGCAGCAGUAGGGAAUCUUCCGCAAUGGACGAAAGUCUGACGGAGCAACGCCGCGUGAGUGAUGAAGGCUUUCGGGUCGUAAAACUCUGUUGUUAGGGAAGAACAAGUGCUAGUUGAAUAAGCUGGCACCUUGACGGUACCUAACCAGAAAGCCACGGCUAACUACGUGCCAGCCGCCGCCGUAA
rnacentral:rRNA from 1 species